GUGCCAGCAGCCGCGGUAAUACGUAGGUGGCAAGCGUUAUCCGGAAUUAUUGGGCGUAAAGCGCGCGUAGGCGGUUUUUUAAGUCUGAUGUGAAAGCCCACGGCUCAACCGUGGAGGGUCAUUGGAAACUGGAAAACUUGAGUGCAGAAGAGGAAAGUGGAAUUCCAUGUGUAGCGGUGAAAUGCGCAGAGAUAUGGAGGAACACCAGUGGCGAAGGCGACUUUCUGGUCUGUAACUGACGCUGAUGUGCGAAAG
rnacentral:rRNA from 1 species